GGCGCCAAAUACGAAAUCUCAUGAAAAUCGUGGAAGACAACCAAGGCGUGCACAAAAUGACAACCUCGAUUCCUUUGAUGAUUUAGCUGAUACUCAAUUAGAUAAACUUAUUUCUAAAUUUAUUAAUGUUUUCUUAUUUUAUUUAACGUAUUUUCUUACUAGUUUAGAAUAUGAUCUCAUUGACGUCUGUAGGCCUAGAUCAUAUUGAAUGACUCAUCCGAUCGUGAGAUAGGUUGAAUUAAUACUUUUAUUUAUUAAAUUUUAAUGCAUCAUAUUCUUAGCAUUGUAAACCUUUAACAUUUUUUUUCUCUAGAAAAUGAUGACAUCUAUGUGGUUUUAUUAAGUGCCGUCCAUAAUAGUUAAAGGAACAUUUCAGAAAAUGUCCAAGAACGUGGUGGCAGAACAAGCGAAAAUAAUUCUAGCGAUAUCACAGUUGAGUUAGGUCAGUAAUUAUUAGUUUAUAUUAGUGAUUAAUUUAUAUUAUUGACUUAAUUAAAGGUUUAAUGAUCGAUGAUCAUGACAUAUUUUUACCGUAGAUGACGGCAAUAAGAAAAAUAGGGCAAGAGAACCAACGUGCAUGCCAAAAGUUUGGUGCCUAAAUAAAAUCUUAAUGUUUCUUUCAAUGAUCUUGGCCAACUUAAUGAUCAGAAGUAAACAAACAUGCAUGCUAGCUCAUUUUUAGGUACUACUGCAAGGAACGGAUCAUUCUGCCCACUACAUUAUAUUCAUUGAAGAUUGAAGCUAAACUGAUAUAAGGAAGACAUGUGUAGAGAAGUGAAAGUCGAGGUUUAUUAUGCGUGCUGGCAGUGACAGUUUUAUACUACAAUCAAUUAACCACAAGUGGAAGAAUGGGAAGUGUCAAUUGAAGAAUUUGAACUUAAUUUGACCCAAGUGUAUCUAUUGAAGAACAAUUGUUUAAAGUACCAUAAAGGGACCUUAGUGAAAAGAAAAAAGAAGAGCGUGCUAAGUUGGAGAUUCCUCAUCGAAUGGGAAAGAGAAGUUGUGCAGUUAUGGCCGAAAUAAUGUAUGAACAAUUGGGAAGACAUUCCAUGAGAGCAGAGUUAUUUGAAAAGUGUUGUUAUCCUCCUAAUGGUUCUGCUACGAGUGAGACCGUUCGAGAAACUAUUAAAAAGAUGAAAUAGCUAUCUAAACAAGACGAUGGAAAUUUAAGUGAUUGUGAUGUUGUGCAUGAUGUUGAUGAUGCUUUUGCAAAGAUAUUGGGCAAAGAUAAAUAUGGACGAUUGCGCAUGUAUGGCAUGGGAGUGAAGCCGAGUGAUAUCUAUGGUGGGAGACCAAGUCGUAAUGCACUUCAUAGAAAAUCUAUGAUAGACAAAGAAGAAAAUAGAGCACUUAAACAAAAAGUUGAAGAGUUGACAGCUUUGGUGUAUAGCAAAUCACACUCGGAUAGACAAAUACAAACAGAAAGAGCUCCAGUUUCUACCCACAACAAUCAUACUUCAUCUGGUAUUAGCGGUCGUCAACCUCGUAUAAGGGUAAUUACAAGAAAUAGUAUUAUUUAUUACGUAAGUGUCAUAUAUACAUAUUUUCAAUUAUGUAAUUCAAAUGCUACAAAUUUCAGGUUGAAGACUACCUGAAACUGAAAAGUCUUGUUAAUUUGAAUGAAAUUGUUGUUAUUAGCAUUGUGCAAGCAAUAGGAAAUGUUUUGUUGAAUGGUAGGGACUUUGGGCCCGGAAUUUGCGAGGUAGUGGUUCAAUCAAUUUUGAAGGAUGAAGAAAUGUUGAUUUAUUCAACAGACCUUCAUGAAACAAUUGGAGAUUCUAUUG